UACGUAGGGGGCAAGCGUUAUCCGGAUUUACUGGGUGUAAAGGGAGCGUAGGCGGCGAUGCAAGUCAGAAGUGAAAGCCCGGGGCUCAACUCCGGGACUGCUUUUGAAACUGUGUUGCUAGAUUGCAGGAGAGGUAAGUGGAAUUCCUAGUGUAGCGGUGAAAUGCGUAGAUAUUAGGAGGAACACCAGUGGCGAAGGCGGCCUGCUGGACGACAACUGACGGUGAGGCGCGAAAGCGUGGGGAGCAAACAGG
rnacentral:rRNA from 1 species